rnacentral:rRNA from 2 species
AUAGAGGACACACCUGUUCCCAUACCGAACACAGAAGUUAAGCUCUAUAGCGCCGAAAGUAGUUGGAGGAUCGCUUCCUGCGAGGAUAGGACGAUGCGGUGC